rnacentral:rRNA from 1 species
CAGAGGGUGCGAGCGUUGUUCGGAAUUAUUGGGCGUAAAGCGCGUGUAGGCGGGAUGGCAAGUCGGGUGUGAAAGCCCUCAGCUCAACUGAGGAAGUGCGCCCGAAACUACUGUUCUUGAGUAUCGGAGAGGGUGGCGGAGUUCCCGGUGUAGAGGUGAAAUUCGUAGAUAUCGGGAGGAACACCAGUGGCGAAGGCGGCCACCUGGCCGAAUACUGACGCUGAGACGCGAAAGCGUGGGGAGCAAACAGGAUUAGGUACCCUGGUAGUCCACGCCGUAAACGAUGAGUGCUAGGUGUUGUGGGUGUUGACCCCCGCAGUGCCGAAGCUAACGCAUUAAGCACUCCGCCUGGGAAGUACGGCCGCAAGGCUA